rnacentral:rRNA from 1 species
UACAGAGGUCCCAAGCGUUGUUCGGAUUCACUGGGCGUAAAGGGUGCGUAGGUGGUGAGGUAAGUCGGAUGUGAAAGCUCCGAGCUCAACUCGGAAAUGGCAUUGGAAACUACCUUGCUAGAGGGUUUGAGGGGGGACUGGAAUACUUGGUGUAGCAGUGAAAUGCGUAGAUAUCAAGUAGAACACCAGUGGCGAAGGCGAGUCUCUGGAUAUUUCCUGACGCUGAGGCACGAAAGCCAGGGGAGCAAACGGG